rnacentral:ncRNA from 1 species
AGUAACGCGUAAGAACCUGCCCUUGGGAGGGGAACAACAACUGGAAACGGUUGCUAAUACCCCGUAGGCUGAGGAGCAAAAGGAGAAAUCCGUCCAAGGAGGGGCUCGCGUCUGAUUAGCAACUUAGAAACUUUAAUGUCCCUUAUAGUAUUGCUUCUAGAAAAUUUAU